rnacentral:misc_RNA from 1 species
AUCGUAUCUAAACGCUGACCAUGCUGGAAUUCUCUAUCUUCGAGCGGAAGUAGCUACCGUGCGACACCAUGUGAGUCACCUGUUUCUUUCUACAGGUACAAUUCCAGGAAGGUUGCGAGGUAUCGAAAAUGUUGAAGUGGUCACCACUUCUAAGAAAACUCCACAUCUGGUCUUUUUAGUUUUCUCAAGCACUGAAGCCAUCCACAGCGUAUAGACAAAAGACCAUAAACAGUAGACAAGCGACGUUGGCUUCGGGGUUUUCAGUUAUAAGGUAACGCCG